AUAGUCGAGCGAGGUAAGUGCAACGGGAACCCUAGUGCUCACUCUGCGGAAAAAAUAGACAACAAAACAGCUCAGAAACUAAAGGGACUAUACCUCAGGGUAUCCGAACUUGAGACGCAAUUAGACCGUGAAAGAAGCGAACAUUUGUCGUCCAUCGCGCAAGCUCGAGAACAAGGGAGAGCUUUAUCACAAGAGAUUUGUGAGCUCAAAAAGGUUUAUUAACUUUCUCAUCUUUUACUUACAACUAUUAAAAGAAAAAGAGCGAUCAUGCUUUAUUUAUAAUUUUUUGAGAAGCUCGGUGACUAUCGAUCUAUGUUAAUCUAAAUAUGCAUUAAUGUGCAUGUUACAACGUAAAGCAUUUCAUUUUAACUAUCAACAAGUUCAACUUUAUGACGCAUUAGUGUUUAUCGAAGCAAAGUAUGCAAAUGUGUUUUACACGUCAUCCAGAUUUCACAAAUCACAUUGUUUUUGCUUUGUAUGUUUGGUCGAAUAAAAUUGAAGGAUUAAACAUUUGAA